rnacentral:rRNA from 1 species
GUAGGUGGCAAGCGUUGUCCGGAAUUAUUGGGCGUAAAGCGCGCGCAGGCGGUUCUUUAAGUCUGAUGUGAAAGCCCACGGGCUCAACCGUGGAGGGUCAUUGGAAACUGGAGAACUUGAGUACAGAAGAGGAAAGCGGAAUUCCACGUGUAGCGGUGAAAUGCGUAGAGAUGUGGAGGAACACCAGUGGCGAAGGCGGCUUUCUGGUCUGUAACUGACGCUGAGGCGCGAAAGCGUGGGGAGCAAACAGGAUUAGAUACCCUGGUAGUCCACGCCGUAAACGAUGAGUGCUAGGUGUUAGGGGGUUUCCGCCCCUUAGUGCUGCAGCUAACGCAUUAAGCACUCCGCCUGGGGAGUACGGCCGCAAGGCUG